UACGUAGGGGGCAAGCGUUGUCCGGAAUCAUUGGGCGUAAAGAGCGUGUAGGCGGCUAGGUAGGUCCGUUGUGAAAACUCGAGGCUCAACCUCGAGACGUCGAUGGAAACCAUCUAGCUAGAGUCCGGAAGAGGAGAGUGGAAUUCCUGGUGUAGCGGUGAAAUGCGCAGAUAUCAGGAAGAACACCAGUGGCGAAGGCGGCUCACUGGCCCGAUACUGACGCUGAGGCACGAAAGCGUGGGGAGCAAACAGG
rnacentral:rRNA from 1 species